rnacentral:tRNA from 1 species
GUUAGGAUGGUUGAGUGGUUUAAGGUGCCAAACUCAAGUUUUGGUGUUUGUGAGACAAUGUGGGUUCAAAUCCCACGUCUGACA